AAACGUAGGUGGCGAGCGUUAUCCGGAUUUACUGGGCGUAAAGGGGUGUGCAGGCUGCCCCUCAAGUGGUGUAUGAAAGCACCCGGCUCAACCGGGUCAUGGUAUGCCAGACUGAAGGGCUAGAGAGCGAGAGCGGGACGUGGAAUUCCGGGUGUAGUGGUGAAAUGCGUAGAGAUCCGGAGGAACCCCAGAGGCGAAGGCGGCGUCCUGGCUCGCAUCUGACGUCAGACACGCAGCGUGGGGGAGCGAAACAGG
rnacentral:rRNA from 1 species